CAGCCGCCGCGGGAAUACAGAGGAUGCAAGCGUUAUCCGGAAUGAUUGGGCGUAAAGCGUCUGUAGGUGGCUUUUCAAGUCCGCCGUCAAAUCCCCGGGCUCAACCCUGGACAGGCAGUGGAAACUACCAAGCUGGAGUACGGUAGGGGCAGAGGGAAUUUCCGGUGUAGCGGUGAAAUGCGUAGAGAUGUGGAGGAACACCAGUGGCGAAGGCGACUCUCUGGUCUGUAACUGACGCUGAGGAGCGAAAGCGUGGGGAGCGAACAGGAUUAGAUACCCCAGUAGUCCCUGUCUCUUAUAC
rnacentral:rRNA from 1 species